rnacentral:rRNA from 1 species
AGUAACACGUAAGUAACCUGCCUUUAAGACGAGGAUAACAACCGGAAACGGUUGCUAAGACUGGAUAGGAAACAAAAAGGCAUCUUUUUGUUUUUAAAAGACCUUCUUACGAAGGUAUGCUUAAAGAGGGGCUUGCGCCACAUUAGUUAGUUGGUAGAGUAAAAGCCUACCAAGACGAUGAUGUGUAGCUGGACUGAGAGGUUGAACAGCCACAUUGGGACUGAGACACGGCCCAAACUCCUACGGGAGGCAGCAGUAGGGAAUUUUCGGCAAUGGAGGAAACUCUGACCGAGCAACGCCGCGUGAACGAUGAAGUAUUUCGGUAUGUAAAGUUCUUUUAUUGAAGAAGAAAAAGUAGUGGAAAAACUAUAUUGACGUUAUUCAAUGAAUAAGCCCCGGCUAACUAUGUGCCAGCAGCCGCGGUAAGACAUAGGGGGCGAGCGUUAUCCGGAAUUAUUGGGCGUAAAGGGUGCGUAGGCUGUUAGAUAAGUCUAUAAUUUAAUUUCAGUGCUUAACGCUGUCUUGUUAUAGAAACUGUCUUGACUAGAGUGAGAUAGAGGCAAGCGGAAUUCCAUGUGUAGCGGUAAAAUGUGUAAAUAUAUGGAGGAACACCAGAAGCGUAGGCGGCUUGCUGGGUCUUUACUGACGCUGAGGCACGAAAGCGUGGGUAGCAAACAGGAUUAGAUACCCUGGUAGUCCACGCCGUAAACGAUGAGUACUAAGUGUCGGGGUAAAACUCGGUACUGAAGUUAACACAUUAAGUACUCCGCCUGAGUAGUACGUACGCAAGUAUGAAACUUAAAGGAAUUGACGGGACUCCGCACAAGCGGUGGAUCAUGUUGUUUAAUUCGAAGAUACACGAAAAAUCUUACCAGGUCUUGACAUACUCUGCAAAGCUAUAGAAAUAUAGUGGAGGUUAUCAGGGAUACAGGUGGUGCAUGGUUGUCGUCAGUUCGUGUCGUGAGAUGUUAGGUUAAGUCCUAAAACGAGCGCAACCCUUGUCGUUAAUUGCCAGCACGUAAUGGUGGGGACUUUAACGAGACUGCCAAUUAAAAAUUGGAGGAAGGUGAGGAUUACGUCAAAUCAUCAUGCCCCUUAUGAUCUGGGCUACAAACGUGAUACAAUGGCUGUGACAAAGAGUAGCUGAAACGCGAGUUUUUAGCCAAUCUCAAAAAAGCAGUCUCAGUUCGGAUUGAAGUCUGUAACUCGACUUCAUGAAGUUGGAAUCGCUAGUAAUCGCGAAUCAGCAUGUCGCGGUGAAUACGUUCUCGGGGUUUGUACACACCGCCCGUCAAACCACGAAAGUUAGCAAUACCCAAAAGCAGUAGCUUAACUUCGCAAGAAGAGGGAACUGUCUAAGGUAGGGUUGAUGAUUGGGGUUAAGUCGUAACAAGGUAUCCCUACCGGAAGGUGGGGAUGGAUCACCUCCUUUCU